rnacentral:sRNA from 1 species
UAUCACAUUUAGGCCUACAAUUUAAGUA